rnacentral:rRNA from 1 species
UACAGAGGGUGCGAGCGUUACUCGGAAUUACUGGGCGUAAAGCGUGCGCAGGCGGUUUUGUACGCCAGAUGUGAAAUCCCCGGGCUUAACCUGGGAAUGGCAUUUGGGACUGCAAGGCUGGAGUUUGGCAGAGGAGACUGGAAUUCCCGGUGUAGCAGUGAAAUGCGUAGAUAUCGGGAGGAACAUCAGUGGCGAAGGCGGCUGCCUGGCCCAAUACUGACACUCAGGUGCGACAGCGUGGGGAGCAAACAGG